rnacentral:rRNA from 1 species
GUGGGGAAUAUUGGACAAUGGGCGCAAGCCUGAUCCAGCCAUGCCGCGUGAGUGAUGAAGGCCUUAGGGUUGUAAAGCUCUUUUGUCCGGGAAGAUAAUGACUGUACCGGAAGAAUAAGCCCCGGCUAACUUCGUGCCAGCAGCCGCGGUAAUACGAAGGGGGCUAGCGUUGCUCGGAAUCACUGGGCGUAAAGGGCGCGUAGGCGGACUCUUAAGUCGGGGGUGAAAGCCCAGGGCUCAACCCUGGAAUAGCCUUCGAUACUGAGAGUCUUGAGUUCGGAAGAGGUUGGUGGAAUUGCGAGUGUAGAGGUGAAAUUCGUAGAUAUUCGCAAGAACACCAGUGGCGAAGGCGGCCAACUGGUCCGAUACUGACGCUGAGGCGCGAAAGCGUGGGGAGCAAACAGGAUUAGAAACCCGAGUAGUCC